AGCUUUGCGCAGUGGCAGUAUCGUAGCCAAUGAGGUUUAUCCGAGGCGCGAUUAUUGCUAAUUGAAAAAUAUGUAUCUUCAAAGAUGUAAUGAGUUCCUUGAAGGAAGGGAAACUUUUUGUUAGUUCAAAAAUUAA